GCCUCCUUAGCUCAGUGGCAGAGCAGUGCAUUCGUAACGCACAGACGCAAGUUCGAUUCUCGCAGGGGGCU
rnacentral:tRNA from 3 species